rnacentral:rRNA from 1 species
AGAGUUUGAUCAUGGCUCAGAUUGAACGCUGGCGGCAUGCCUUACACAUGCAAGUCGAACGGUAACAGGUCUUCGGAUGCUGACGAGUGGCGAACGGGUGAGUAAUACAUCGGAACGUGCCCGAUCGUGGGGGAUAACGAGGCGAAAGCUUUGCUAAUACCGCAUACGAUCUACGGAUGAAAGCGGGGGAUCUUCGGACCUCGCGCGAUUGGAGCGGCCGAUGUCAGAUUAGGUAGUUGGUGGGGUAAAGGCUCACCAAGCCGACGAUCUGUAGCUGGUCUGAGAGGACGACCAGCCACACUGGGACUGAGACACGGCCCAGACUCCUACGGGAGGCAGCAGUGGGGAAUUUUGGACAAUGGGCGCAAGCCUGAUCCAGCAAUGCCGCGUGCAGGAAGAAGGCCUUCGGGUUGUAAACUGCUUUUGUACGGAACGAAAAGGCUCUGGAUAAUACCUGGGGCUCAUGACGGUACCGUAAGAAUAAGCACCGGCUAACUACGUGCCAGCAGCCGCGGUAAUACGUAGGGUGCGAGCGUUAAUCGGAAUUACUGGGCGUAAAGCGUGCGCAGGCGGUUUUGUAAGACAGGCGUGAAAUCCCCGGGCUUAACCUGGGAAUUGCGCUUGUGACUGCAAGGCUGGAGUGCGGCAGAGGGGGAUGGAAUUCCGCGUGUAGCAGUGAAAUGCGUAGAUAUGCGGAGGAACACCGAUGGCGAAGGCAAUCCCCUGGGCCUGCACUGACGCUCAUGCACGAAAGCGUGGGGAGCAAACAGGAUUAGAUACCCCGGUAGUCC